UUCGGCGAGUAGGUUGGUUUCCUGUCACAAGGGCGUGCGCUCUGUGCUAAGCGCGGAAUUCGCGGCGACCAAAGGGAAAAACUGCUGUACCCUCAAGGAGCUUACAUGAAGUUAUGCACAACAAACAAUUGCUAACGCCCUAUAAAGUCAAAAUAUGACCGGUGUUUAAAGAUGAGUAAAAACUUCCUUAGGGACCAAACCAGCAAGUAGACUCAGCUUUGGGAGCCAUUACCCUGGUCCACCUUGAUGUGUCAGCACAACAGAGAGCAGCUUACUUCAUACCCAGCCCUGUAAUGCUUGAGUCACUCAAAUGGUGGUAAAGAGGCAAACUAGAUUGUUUCUAAUCGGUGUGGGAACUGAGGAAUGCAGAAUGGGAAGAAUACUGAGGCUACUUGGGGAUGCCUCUCCCAGUGCUCCUUCAGGAUGCUGCUUCCAUCUAUGUUAAGCCCUGGGUUAACUCUGCAGAGAGGCCCCCAGUCACACAGGUUCCUUCUGACCCAGAGUGACCCCCCUGUGGACGACUGCCGAGUGAGAGCAUGUAUGAUUACCAGAGGUUGCCCAAGCUCCAAAGGAAGCACUCCAUGAUCAACAACCCUGACACUACGUGGAAAUGGACACGACUGAUGAAUGUGAAAAGGAAUCAUUGAAAUGGAAAAUCCUGGAGCUGAAAGUGGCCGUAUCCAACUCUACUCCGUGAAUUUUGUAUUUUUUCUUUUAUUUAUUCAUCAUCUUGACAGACAUUUUUUGCGAAUAUACUACAUGCAAAGCACUACAUUAGGUGCUAGGAAAAGAACUGUGAACAAGGGAAGAGGCCAUGUGAGGACACAGUGAGAAGGCAGCCAUAUACAAGCCUGGAAGAGAGGCUUCACCAGAAAUCAACCUAGAUGGCACCUUGAUCUUGGACUUGAAGCUUCCUGAACUUCUUCAGGUGGUGUCUCAAUCUGUAGCAAAGAAGGCCACAAGGCUCCAGGCCUGCACACCUUUACUGGUGGAAAUUAAGCAUCUUCAGAUUGUUUUCCUUUAGCUUCCCGAAGACCAGUCCUCAUGAAGAAAGUGAAGGAAUACUCAUCCUUACUCCCCUCCCACUUCUGUCAGAGGGAACAAUAUUUCCCAAAGUGUGGAAUUCAAACUAGUGCUGAAUAUGUAAGCUGAAAGCAUCCUGACUGAUAAGAGUGGUUAAACUGGUUUCUUCAGUCAUUGAGGAGGGAAUUGGCUCCUGGCUUCACCACAGGAAUUAUAUGUCCUCUUCAAAGCUGCUUCCUCCUCUGUGAGAUGCAGACUGGUUGCUGCACUCUCCUCCGAGGCUCUGAAGCUCCCCCUCUGUCCAGGCUGAUCUCCCCACAGCUAACUCUGGGAUGCUUCAAAGAAACCCUGCGACAUCUCAGAAAGAAAUGUUAGACUAAUUAGGCUUACUUGAGAAGCACUGUCAAGUGAUUGGAGAUAAACCUUCUUAGGUUAUAUUGUAUGGGUAAAUGUCAUUAAUAUAGAUAUUCCAAAAUUUAUAUGGAAUUACUAAAA